AACCAGCACCUCAAGUGGUCAGGAUGAUUAUUGGGCCUAAAGCAUCCGUAGCCGGCUCUGUAAGUUUUCGGUUAAAUCUGUACGCUCAACGUACAGGCUGCCGGGAAUACUGCAGAACUAGGGAGUGGGAGAGGUAGACGGUACUCGGUAGGAAGUGGUAAAAUGCUUUGAUCUAUCGAUGACCACCUGUGGCGAAGGCGGUCUACCAGAACACGUCCGACGGUGAGGGACGAAAGCUGGGGGAGCAAACCGG
rnacentral:rRNA from 1 species